rnacentral:rRNA from 1 species
UACGAAUGGAGCAAGCGUUGUUCGGAAUCACUGGGCUUAAAGCGUGCGUAGGCGGACAUGAAAGUCAGGAGUGAAAUCCCCGGGCUUAACCCGGGAAUUGCUUUUGAAACUCCAUGUCUAGAAUCCGGUAGAGGUCAGGAGAAUUCCAAGUGUAGAGGUGAAAUUCGCAGAUAUUUGGAGGAAUACCAGUGGCGUAGGCGCCUGACUGGGCCGGUAUUGACGCUGAGGUACGAAAGCAUGGGGAGCAAACAGG